CAAGAAAUAGUUUAUAAAAAUACUAACUUUGGAAGUUAGAGAUACCUUUGGGUUUUCUUGA
rnacentral:tRNA from 1 species